rnacentral:rRNA from 1 species
ACUAACACAGUGCCAGCAGCCGCGGUAAGACGGAGGGUGCAAGCGUUGUCCGGAGACACAGGGUUAAAAGGGUACGGAGGCGGUAUGUUAAGUCAGUCGUUAGAGUGUGUCGCUUAACGAGUAAAUUGCGAAUGAUACUGGCGGAGUAGAAUGUAGUAGAGGCUGGCGGAAUGAGACAAGUAGCGGUGAAAUGCUUAGAUAUGUCUCAGAACACCGAUUGCGAAGGCAGCUGGCUAUGCUAUUAUUGACGCUGAGGUACGAAAGUGUGGGUAGCAAACAGGAUUAGAUACCCCGGUAGUC